rnacentral:misc_RNA from 1 species
AACUCUCCAGAGGCAGCUUAUGCAAAAGCAUGUGAAAGAACUUGAGAGUCUGAGGAGAGGAGAAGAAUGGGAUGAUAGUCUACAAUCCAAGGAGCGGGUUGAGGCUAGCUUGCUCAGCAAAUAUGAAGCUGCAAUUAGACGAGAAAGAGCGCUUGCAUAUUCAUAUUCUCACCAGCAAACCUGGAAGAAAUCAUCAAGAUCUACCAAUUUGUUGUUCAUGGAUCCGACCAAUCCGCAAUGGGGUUGGAGCUGGCUAGAGCGGUGGACGGGUGCUAGGCCUUGG